rnacentral:lncRNA from 1 species
CUACAGUUUCUCUAGGAAAGUCCAGGAUAACAAUUGAUGUAGCUAUUAAGUAGAAGAGUGUCUACAACAAACUCCAAGAUGGUGCCAAGGAGCAAGCAAAGAUCUUCAGCUAUGGAGACGGUCAUCCCAAAGGUCUCCAAAGGAGCUCAGAAGCUGAGAACGGUUGGUAAUGGCAAAGAUGUUCACAUAAGGGGCUGUUCAGGUAUGCAGUGAUAAUGGGAUCAUGUAGGUGGAUAUUGCCAAGUGUGUCAAGGCUUGGGGGCAUCAAGGUGGAGAUUGUAGGAGUUAGUGUGGUGCUUCCAAGCCUUGGGAGGCCACAAGAGAGGAGUUAGGGUAUUCAGUCUGAGAGACUAGGACAGGUGUGGUCUUAGGGCUAAGACAGGAGUGGUUCUAGGGUGGAGGCAGUGUGUAGCUCUCCACAGACUUGAGGUCCAAGUGUUGAGGAUCUUAAGAGGCUUGGUUGGUGCUCCAGAGACUUGGGGACACAAGGUGGAGCAAGAAAUUAGAGCCAAGGCUGAAGACUGCAGAAAAGAGUAAUGUGGAACAAUUUAGAUCUAAAGGAAG